UUUUUGUUUUAAAUUACAGAUGCAGAUGCAGGGUACCAUCCCUGAUCACACUGCUGAUCAAGAUGAUCUCCCAUAUCUUGUAUGUAGUGAAUUCAAUGUUAUCAAACUAAACUCUGUAUUCAAAAUGAAAACUAAAACAGAAAUUUGAAAGUUAAAACAUUUGUUUCAGGAGAAACGGGAAGCCGCUUCCAGCGCUGGAUGCUCAGCAUUGAGGGCCAAAUUGUGUGCGAAGGGACCCAGUCCACCUUUGUGACAGAACUGGCGUCUUUUUUUUCUUCCUGUUUUUACAUCUUUAACCUACAGUACCAAGAGGAGGCAGCCUGCACGCUUGAAUUCAUCCAGAGAUGCUUUGUGGGUAUAAACCCAGAAAAAAAGGACAAAGGUUGCAAAGAGGAAAAAAACGAAGAACGGUCAAUUCACACGUCACCAUCCUCUUGCGUAGGCUCAUGGACUUUCAGUGGGAUUUCAUUUGAAAAUGAACCAAGACGUUCCAAAGGAUCCUCAUUGUGUGCUUUGUUUUACAAAAUGGUUAGUGGUCUAAGCAGUGACAGUGUUAUUAUUGUUUAUUGCUCUUUACAGUAUUGACCAGGAGUUCCAUGAAUUUAAGUUAAGUCUUAGCUUGAAUGUAUUCAUCCACGUUGAAUUUAAGUGGUUUGGGUAACAUUAAGUGUUGAGGUUCAGUAUUUUGUUAUAUUGAACAAUGUAUUUGGGUUUAAAAAUGUAUUUGCUACAACUAUUUUUAAGCCAUAAACAUGAGAUUUGUUUGUCAUUAAUCUCAGCCUAUGUGUAACAUUUUUGAGUGACCAGGAGUUUGAGUCUU